UACAGAGGUCUCGAGCGUUAGGCGGAAUCACUGGGCUUAAAGCGUGUGUAGGCGGUUCGUUAAGUGCCUUGUGAAAUCCCACGGCUUAACCGUGGAACUGCUUGGCAUACUGGCGAUCUUGAGCAACCUAGGGGCGAGCGGAACAAAUGGUGGAGCGGUGAAAUGCGUAGAUAUCAUUUGGAACGCCAAUGGUGAAAACAGCUCGCUGGGGGUUUGCUGACGCUGAGACACGAAAGCCAGGGGAGCAAACGGG
rnacentral:rRNA from 1 species